CCACCGUGAAGCUGCAAGGAAGGAGGUUAGACUUCGAUUGCAAGAAGAGAAAAAGGAUAAGGCAUAUAACAUCACGCCCAGUGGUAGUCCAGCUCGCAGCCCGGGCUGGGGGGCAGGCUCCCAUGUUACUGAUGAUGAAAUUAAAAUGGCAGAGGACAAGUUUGCUGAAUCGUUGCACUUGGCACAGAUGGGCAUGCACAACCUCCUGGAGAAUGAUGUUGAACAGAUCUCGCAGCUUGCAACCUUCGCAGAGAACUUGCUUGAUUAUCACAGACAGUGUACGGAGAUUUUAGAGGUCCUGGCUGGAACACUCCAUGAUAAGUAAGACUCA